rnacentral:tRNA from 1 species
AGCAGCAUGGCGCAGUUGGAAGCGCGCGGGGCUCAUACCUGUGAAUGCAACCCUGAGGUCACUCGAUCGAAACGAGUUGCUGCUA